rnacentral:rRNA from 1 species
GAUGAACGCUGGCGGCGUGCCUAAUACAUGCAAGUCGAGCGAACAGACGAGGAGCUUGCUCCUUCGACGUUAGCGGCGGACGGGUGAGUAACACGUAGGUAACCUACCUAUAAGACUGGGAUAACUUCGGGAAACCGGAGCUAAUACCGGAUAAUAUUUCGAACCGCAUGGUUCGAUAGUGAAAGAUGGCUUUGCUAUCACUUAUAGAUGGACCUUCGCCGUAUUAGCUAGUUGGUAAGGUAACGGCUUACCGAGGCAACGAUACGUAGCCGACCUGAGAGGGUGAUCGGCCACACUGGAACUGAGACACGGUCCAGACUCCUACGGGAGGCAGCAGUAGGGAAUCUUCCGCAAUGGGCGAAAGCCUGACGGAGCAACGCCGCGUGAGUGAUGAAGGUCUUCGGAUCGUAAAACUCUGUUAUUAGGGAAGAACAAACGUGUAAGUAACUGUGCACGUCUUGACGGUACCUACUCAGAAAGCCACGGCUAACUACGUG